rnacentral:rRNA from 1 species
AUUGAACGCUGGCGGCAGGCCUAACACAUGCAAGUCGAGCGAGAAAGGUCUUCGGACUGAGUACAGCGGCGGACGGGUGAGUAAUGCGCAGGAAUCUACCUGGUAGUGGGGGAUAACUCGGGGAAACUCGAACUAAUACCGCAUACGCCCUACGGGGAAAGCGGGGGACCGUUCGGGCCUCGCGCUAUCAGAUGAGCCUGCGUAGGAUUAGCUUGUUGGUGAGGUAAAGGCUCACCAAGGCGACGAUCCUUAGCUGGUCUGAGAGGAUGAUCAGCCACACUGGAACUGAGACACGGUCCAGACUCCUACGGGAGGCAGCAGUGGGGAAUAUUGCGCAAUGGGCGAAAGCCUGACGCAGCCAUGCCGCGUGUGUGAAGAAGGCCCUUGGGUUGUAAACUGCUUUUGUACGGGAAGAAACACCCCCUCGUGAGGGGGCUUGACGGUACCGUAAGAAUAAGGAUCGGCUAACUCCGUG